rnacentral:rRNA from 1 species
UCAGCUUUCGACGGUAUGGUAUUGGCUUACCGUGGCAGUGACGGUUAACGGGGGAUUAGGGUUCGAUUCCGGAGAGGGAGCCUGAGAAACGGCUACCACAUCUAAGGAAGGCAGCAGGCGCGCAAAUUACCCAAUUCUAACAGUUUGAGAGAGGUAGUAACAAGAAAUAACAAUACAAGGCAGUUAAAAUGCUUUGUAAUUGGAAUGAUAGAAAUUUAAACCCUUUUUAAAGUAUCAAUUGGAGGGCAAGUCUGGUGCCAGCAGCCGCGGUAAUUCCAGCUCCAAUAGCGUAUAUUAAAAUUGUUGCAGUUAAAAAGCUCGUAGUUGAAGUUCUGCUGAAAGUAACCGGUCUGCUUUUAAUAAAAGUGGUAUCUUGGUAUGUAUUUAGCAAUGAUGUCCUUUGAAGUGUUUUUUACUUUAUUGUAAUAAAGCAUAUUCAGGACUUUUACUUUGAGAAAAUUAGAGUGUUUCUAGCAGGCUGACGCUUUGAAUACUGCAGCAUGGAAUAAUAAGAUAGGAUUUUAGUUCUACAUUAUUGGUUUUAAGAGCUAAAUUAAUGAUUGAUAGGGACAGUUGGGGGCAUUUGUAUUUAACUGUCAGAGGUGAAAUUCUUAGAUU